rnacentral:rRNA from 1 species
GACGAACGCUGGCGGCGUGCUUAACACAUGCAAGUCGUACGGUAAGGCCCUUUCGUUGGUCCACGAGUGGCGACCGCGUGAGUAACACGUACGUAACCUGCCCCCACCUUUGGGAUAACGCUAGGUAACUGGUACUAAUACUGGUUCUGUGCUCCUGCUUCAUGGUGGGGGUUGGAAAGCUCCGGCGGUUGUGGCUGGCUUCGCGGCCUAACGGCUUGUCGGGGGGGUAGUGUCCUACCAAGGCGGCGUCGGGUAGCCGGACUGCGAAGGUGACCUGCCACACUGGGACUGAGAGACGGCACAGACUCGGACGGGAGGGCGCAGGGGGGAAUCCUGAACAAGGGGCGCCAGGCGGAUGCAGAAGCUCCGCGUGCGGGAUGACGGUCUUCGGGUGGAAAACCGCAUUCAGCAGGGACGAAGCAUUUUGUGACGGUACCUGAAGAAGAAGCACCGGCUAACUACGUG